UACGUAGGGUGCGAGCGUUAAUCGGAAUUACUGGGCGUAAAGCGUGCGCAGGCGGUUCGUUAAGUCAGAUGUGAAAGCCCCGGGCUCAACCUGGGAACUGCAUUUGAAACUGGCGGGCUUGAGUGUGGCAGAGGGGGGUGGAAUUCCGCGUGUAGCAGUGAAAUGCGUAGAGAUGCGGAGGAACACCGAUGGCGAAGGCAGCCCCCUGGGCCAACACUGACGCUCAUGCACGAAAGCGUGGGGAGCAAGCAGG
rnacentral:rRNA from 1 species